rnacentral:rRNA from 1 species
AGUGAACGCUGGCGGUAGGCCUAACACAUGCAAGUCGAACGGCAGCACAGUAAGAGCUUGCUCUUACGGGUGGCGAGUGGCGGACGGGUGAGGAAUACAUCGGAAUCUACUUUUUCGUGGGGGAUAACGUAGGGAAACUUACGCUAAUACCGCAUACGACCUACGGGUGAAAGUAGGGGAUCUUCGGACCUUGCGCGAUUGAAUGAGCCGAUGUCGGAUUAGCUAGUUGGCGGGGUAAAGGCCCACCAAGGCGACGAUCCGUAGCUGGUCUGAGAGGAUGAUCCGCCACACUGGAACUGAGACACGGUCCAGACUCCUACGGGAGGCAGCAGUGGGGAAUAUUGGACAGUGGGCGCAAGCCUGAUCCAGCCAUACCGCGUGGGUGAAGAAGGCCUUCGGGUUGUAAAGCCCUUUUGUUGGGAAAGAAAAGCAGCAGGUUAAUACCCCGCUGUUCUGACGGUACCCAAAGAAUAAGCACCGGCUAACUUCGU